GGAUUUGAUCCUGGUCCAGGAUGAACGCUGGCGGUGUGGAUAAGGCAUGCAAGUCGAGCGGAACUAAUUUUGAAGAAGUUGAGAUUAUAUCAAAGCGACGGAUUUUUUAGUUUAGCGGCGAACGAGUUAGUAACACCCUAGUACGUACCCCAGAGACGGAGAUAGUCCGCCGAAAGGCGGGGUAAUAACCGAUAGCAUCGUGCUUCACACCAUGUUCGGUGUUCGAAGUUCGAGUUGUUCGAAGUAUUUCAUCGAACAUCGAACGAGGUCGCUUGAGGCGACCGAUUGAACAAUGAACAUCGCGUGGAGCGCGAUUAAAGUCGCAAGACGCUCUGGGAUCGGCUUAGGUCUGAUCAGCUAGUUGGUAGGGUAAUGGCCUACCAAGGCUACGACCAGUAGGGGAGGUGAGAGCCUGACCCCCAACGACGGAACUGAGAUACGGUCCGUACUCCUACGGGAGGCAGCAGUCGAGAAUAUUCGACAAUGGGCGAAAGCCUGAUCGAGCGACACCGCGUGCAGGAAGAAGCUUUUCGGAGUGUAAACUGCGGUAGUUAGGGAAUAAUUUACAUGAAUGUACCUAACGGAAAGAGGUGGGUAACUACGUGCCAGCACCAGCGGUAAUACGUAGACCUCAAGCGUUAUCCGGAUUUAUUGGGCGUAAAGAGCGUGUAGGUGGUCCUUCAAGUCCUUUGUUAAAGGCCGCCGCUUAACGGCGGUUAUGCAAGGGAAACUGUUGGACUGGAGGAGAUAAGAGGCUGACGGAACACACGGUGUAGGGGUGAAAUCCGUUGAUAUCGUGUGGAACACCAAAGGCGAAGGCAGUCAGCUGGGAUCUUCCUGACACUGAGACGCGAAAGCGUGGGGAGCAAAAAGGAUUAGAUACCCUUGUAGUCCACGCCCUAAACGAUGCCUGCUAGCUGUUUCGAGUAUCGACCCUCGGAGUGGCGAAGCUAACGCGUUAAGCAGGCCGCCUGGGAAGUACGGCCGCAAGGCUAAAACUCAAAGGAAUAGACGGGGACUCGCACAAGCGGUGGAACAUGA
rnacentral:rRNA from 1 species